CGCGGGAAAUCUUACCGGGUCCGGACACACUGAGGAUUGACAGAUAUAUACCCCGUGAUUUUAUCGCGGGGUUGAAAGAUGCUAGUUCUUUCAUGAUUAUGUGAUAGGUGGUGCAUGGCCGUUCUUAGUUCGUGGAGUGAUCUGUCUGCUUAAUUGCGUAUCAAUAAUAGAGACCUAGUAUACGCGUAGACUCAUGCGGUAGUGACCCCCCUUCACAGGGCGCGUGUCGCACGUAUGUUAUACGCACAGGUCUCCGAUAGCAACGAACGUGACCGUACUCUAUUGUUGCAGCGACAAUACCUUUCAACGGGUAUUACCGCUGCUUAGCAAGAUUCGUCUUGCAUUAAACUAUAGAGACCGCUGUUUCUUCUUUAAACCAGAGGAAGGAUACGGCAAUAACAGGUCUGUGAUGCCCUCAGAUGUUCCGGGCUGCACACGUGCUACAAUGAUCAUUGCACUGUGCAUCUAACCCAAUGUGCGCGGACGC
rnacentral:rRNA from 1 species